CAUGGUAAUUAAUUUGACAAAAACAGGGAAAGAUGAAGAACUUACCUGGCGAGGUUGCGGAUGAAGGCGAAGUUGAGGGAGACGGUCAUGCACUGCUCGCGGUUGAAGACCCGGUCUGUUGUUCACGACGGAGACAUGAUUUCUGUCGUGAAAGAGGGUUUCCCAACGUUGCUUUCAUGGAAGACGAGAGGAGCACAGUGCAGCUUGCCUGUGCUAUUUGCUGUUGCUGUACUGUGAUGCUGGUGUUGCUCCAUCUGCUGGACCGAAAGGAAGGCUGUUGCUGGACAUGCGGGGCGCGCAUCUGAUGCCGGUGGCUUCUGCUCUAGGAGGGGAGGAAAGGACAUAAGGGUUCCCUCUGCUGCAACUGCUGGCUUGUGUUAGCUCCCGGUUGCUGGAACGAAAGGAAGACUUCUUACUGGUUCUGCCACUUGCUAGGGGACAGUGCGGCUGAGGAGCACCUGUUGUCGCUGGUCUAGAAGGUAACCUUCUACUGCUCACGUUGGCAGCUUGCUGAGAAGAGGAUGCUCACAGUAGCAGUUUGUUGAUCAGAGGAGCUGCUGGCGUUUGUUGCUGAUGGUGUUUGAACACCAAGUUGCUGAAACCAGUGCCGCAGCUAUAUCAGAGGAAGGGGAAUCAUGGCAGCAAUUGGAGUAGGAGAGCCGGUGUUUCGGUGAUGAGGAAAGGAGGAGCGACUCCACUAUUGUAUGGGCUUCUCUGCCGCUACUGCUGCUGGUAAGAAGGGAUGUCCAUGGUGCAAUUUUCCUGGUCUCGAGGUUUAGUGAUAUCCUGCUUUGAGGAGGACCAGGUUUGAUAAGUUAACAGCAUGCAGUAGAGUUCAACCAAAGGAGGGGUUACCGGGAUAAGAAGAUGAAGCUGAUUUCUCUUUUCUUGGUGUUGGCGGCAGAGAUAUUGACAAAGAGAGGGUACUGGCUGCUGGUGUUGAUUGAUUCUAAAAAAAAAAAGGCAGGGGACGGCGGUUGGUCUCAGCAGGUGGUUCGCCGCCCCCCUUUUUUUUUUAAAUGUCUUUUUUAAUUUUUAAUUUUUUUAGGUUUUUGGUAAUGGUCUUCUGGGUCUCUCUGUUUUUAGGGUUUCUCUCUAAUCGUCUCUCCUCUCCCUCCUUUGUUUUUCAUACCCUGAGAUCUGUAUUUAUAGUGCCAGAGUCCCUUCGCUUGUGAGAAACCAAGUUUCAAUCAAACUCAUUUUCUUUUUUGAAGUUUGAAUUUGAUUAAGAAUCAAAUUUGAAAGCGGAUAACUAUCAUUAUCUUAAAGACAAGGAUUAUCUCGAAGAUAAAGAUUAUCUUGAAGAUAGGGAUUGUCUUGAAGAUAAAGAUAGAAUGAUAAAAGCACAUUGUAGUCCUUAAUUUUCACGGAAGUUGACAAAUCACACUUUUCAUCGAAAUAAAUCUCUGAUCUUUUAAUUUUUCAUUUUAAACCCUGUAAAAAUUAAAUUAAAAGUCAAAGGGCCAAAAUUGGGUUAUGACAGUUGCCCCCUCUUUACAAUGCUUACGGUGCAAAUGCAUUAGAAAAUUUAUUUUCUUUUGACUUUGUAUAGUAAGUUUUGUAAAGAAGAAUAAUUGUGAAAGCCCUUCCUCUUUUCCUCCUUAUUUUUUUCUUCUCUUUUUUUUUGAUUGAUUUUUUGCUUUUUUUUAAAAAAAUGGUCUAAUUGUUCCAGGCGACCUGCCUGAUAAAGAAUAAAAUGCGAAAAGGGUUUCGCGAGUGUUCUAAUUGUUCCAGGCGACCUGCCCGAUGAUUGAAAAAUACGAGGAUUUUUUUUUUGUAAUGGUAUAUUGUAAUGGGUUACCGGCCCAGAUGGUCACAUUGUAAUGGGUUACCUGCCCAGUAUAGGAUGGUAUAUUGUAAUGGGUUACCGGCCCAGAUGGUCACAUUGUAAUGGGUUACCUGCCCAAUAUAUGAUGGUAUAUUGUAAUGGGUUACCGGCCCAGAUGGUCACAUUGUAAUGGGUUACCUGCCCAGUAUAGGAUGGUAUAUUGUAAUGGGUUACCGACCCACAUGGUCACAUUGUAAUGGGUUACCUGCCCAGUAUAGGAUGGUAUAUUGUAAUGGGUUACCGCCCCAGAUGGUCACAUUGUAAUGGGUUACCGGCCUAGUUGGUCACAUUGUAAUGGGUUACCGGCCUAGUUGGUCACAUUGUAAUGGGUUACCUACUCAGUGGAUGGUAUAUUGUAAUGGGUUACCGACCCAGAUGGUCACAUUGUAAUGGGUUACCUGCCCAGUGAAAAAAUACGAGGAUUUUUCAGAUGGUCACAUUGUAAUGGGUUACCUGCCCAGAUGGUCACAUUGUAAUGGGUUACCGGCCCAGUUGGUCACAUUGUAAUGGGUUACCUGCCCAGUGGAAAAAUACGAGGAUUUUUUUUUAAGACAUGAUAGGGCUCGAAAGCGUAUUAUUCAAUAGAUGGAAGCUCGAAGGAAAUGAGGGCUCGAAGGCGCACUCAAAAGGAGGUAGGAUAGGAAAUGCACUACCUUUGAUGGUUGAGGGCUCGAAGGCGCUCUCGAAAUGGAGAUAAGACGAGGGCUCGAAGGCGCGCUCGAAUGGAGAUAAGACGAGGGCUCGAAAGCGCGCUCGAAUGGAGAUAAGACGAGGGCUCAAAGGCACGCUCGAAUGUAGAUAAGACGAGGACUCGAAGGCGCUCUCGAAUGGAGGUAGGAUAGGAAAUGAACUACCUUUGAUGGUCGAGGGCUCGAAGGCGCGCUCGAAAAGGAGAUAAGACGAGGGCUCGAAGGCGCGCUUGAAUGGAGAUAAGACGAGGGCUCGAAGGCGCGCUCGAAUGGAGAUAAGACGAGGGCUCGAAGGCGCGCUCGAAUGGAGGUAGGAUAGGAAAUGCAUUACCUUUGAUGGUCGAGGGCUCGAAGGCGCGCUCGAAAAGAAACAAGAUGAGGGCUCGAAGGCGCGCUCGAAUGGGGAUAAGACGAGGGCUCGAAGGCGCGCUCGAAAAGAAAUAAGACGAGGGCUCGAAGGCGCGCUCGAAUGGAGGUAGGAUAGGAAAUGCACUACCUAUGAUGGUCGAGGGCUCGAAGGCGCGCUCGAAAAGAACUCAAAAGGAGGUAGGAUAGGAAAUGCACUACCUCAGGAGUGGAAACUGAAAGGUGGUGGAAAAAUAUAGAGAUUUUUUAGGUGGCCUAAUUCUCAUGGGCGGCCUGCCCAGGUUGAAAAAUUCUCAAAAGUGAAAAUUUUUCAAAAGCAAUUUCAAUGUUCGCCAUUUCAAGUUGGCCUUCCGCUUGAUGGAUUCCAUUAGAAUUUUCUCUAAUAAAAUUUGCAAAACUCAUUAUCCAAUGUCUCAAAGUUUAAAUGAUAUGCAUGCAUCUUUACCUGAUUUGAAAUAUAGGCCCCCCAUUUCUUCUUAGUCUUCUCGUUGCUUGGUUGGUGAGAUCUUGCUAUCUGAUUUGAGUCAUCUUUGUCGUUUGGCUUUCUAGCCCACUUGAGUUAGCCCAUAUAAGACUUUUUCCAGAUUUGUUUGCACAACUCAGCUUUUGCGGUACCCAUCGUGACCCACAUGCUUGCUAAAGAUUUUCGGACUCGUCAAAUAAUUUGAUAGGAUCAUUCAUUACCCCUCGUCUCACUGCUAAAAACAUUCGGUGUCACUAGCUGAAAGGAUCCAACUGUCUUUUGUAAACCAAAAUACCAACUUGUCUUGUUGUAAGGGAUAAUAGACUUUCCUUAAACACAAUGUUGCUUGUACUGGUCAUUGCCCCCAAGUGUGCUAUGUCACUGACUUAGAUGAAUAAUGGUUUUAAGAGGCUAUUCUCUCAUUUGGUGAAGAAUAUGGGCUUAGAAUGAAUCUUGAAAUCCCUGAUCUGCAUUUUGAAAACAAAAAAUAUUUCGAUGUGAGUCUAAAACAAUUUGCUUUUAAANNNNNNNNNNNNNNNNNNNNNNNNNNNNNNNNNNNNNNNNNNNNNNNNNNNNNNNNNNNNNNNNNNNNNNNNNNNNNNNNNNNNNNNNNNNNNNNNNNNNNNNNNNNNNNNNNNNNNNNNNNNNNNNNNNNNNNNNNNNNNNNNNNNNNNNNNNNNNNNNNNNNNNNNNNNNNNNNNNNNNNNNNNNNNNNNNNNNNNNNNNNNNNNNNNNNNNNNNNNNNNNNNNNNNNNNNNNNNNNNNNNNNNNNNNNNNNNNNNNNNNNNNNNNNNNNNNNNNNNNNNNNNNNNNNNNNNNNNNNNNNNNNNNNNNNNNNNNNNNNNNNNNNNNNNNNNNNNNNNNNNNNNNNNNNNNNNNNNAUAAGGCUCAAAGAGUGUUUCAGGGUUUCAAGACUGAAGAUCACUGUCAAUAAUUUGACUUUUGACGUCAUUCAUAUUUUCUUUUGCCGCUCUUAUUUGAUUUGCCCCCCUUUUUUCUUUUUCUUUUUCAUUGCUUUGCUAGAGCAUGCUCACUUUAUCUUGGUUAUCAUUUUUUUUCUUGUGAUUUGGGCAUGCCCCCUAGCAUUUGAGUUUCUUGGGAUCUUUUGCCUUUUGGCUUUCUCACGGCUUUAUCAUCUUUCUUGAUCAUUGAAAUUUCACUUGCCCCAGUGUAGGGUGUGAUCUUAGUCGGGAUGUUUUUAUGAAAGAAAAAUUAUUCAGGCUCAAAAAGAGAUCGCAAGGGAUGUACUUAUUUCAGAAUGUGAAAGGAAUAACAAAGAUGGCCUUUCCUCAUUUCAAGCGCAAGCAGUUAAGAUCAAUAAACUUUGACCUCAUCUAGUGUGAUGGUUUGGUCUUUGCAAAGAUGCAUUUCAAGGGUCAUGAGCAACAAGUUCACUACAUACCAUUAUUCAUACAUUUAAAAACACAUGAUUCAAGAGUCGUGGGGUAAGGGUGUUUAUUUAUUUCUUUUUUUUUCUUUAGAGUUUGGUCACCUCUAUGAAGGAGUUACUUGAUUCACUUGUCAUUCUACAAGUAGAAUGUCAAAAAUAUCGUUUUUGAAUAAACAUCAAAUUAUUUUUGAAAUCAAAAUGCCAGAUCAAUUUUUUUCAAAACUCCAAUAGGGAACUGAUUUUGGUAAAAGAGAUGAAUUGCGUCUAUGAGAUCGCGCAAGGCUUCAAAGAUGUGUUUGUGAGUCUUUAUAAGAAAACUCUCUCAGAAAAAUGAAUAGUGCUUGGUCGUAAACACAAUUGAAUGAUAAACUCAUUAUUUUCAUUGAAACUUUGGAAAAGAAGUUCAACAACAAAGAACUUAUGACAACAUCUUGGGCUAUGAAUACUGGCAUGAUAGCAUAUAAAGGGGUUAAACAUUUAACAAUCAUUGAUUGGAAUUUCUAGAAUCAUUCAUUCUCCUUGACAAGGGCAUCUCUUCAACAGUCAAUAAUAUCACCAUAGCUUUAUCUUCAAGAUAGUUGAUUUCUAGGAAUUGGUGUGAAGCAAUUAGCUAUAGGAACGAUAAGUGUCUUGGCAACCACCUUCAGUGAAAUCGUUCUUCUCAGUCAGGUUAGCAAUCUUACCUAACCCAAUGGCUUGUUCAAUCCUCCCAGCUAUAACAACCAGGUCAGUGAAAUGUUGUGCAGAGCUUCUAACCAAGUAUUCAAAGUAUGGAGCUUUAAAGCUGUUGAAAAAUAAACUGAUCAUUUCUUUUUCCAACAUGGGAGGGUUAACUUGUGCAGCUACCUCACUCCAUCUUCGGGCGUAUUCCCUUAUGGACUCCUUAUUGUCCUUCUCCAUAGCUUGCAAGUUUAAACUAUCAGGGCCCACGGCUAUAUUGAACUUAUAUUGCCUUAUGAAGGCAUCAACUAAAUCCUUUCAUUUUUUAACCUUGGUAUUGUCCAACCGCAUGUACCAAGUAAGGAAAACAUCACUCAAGCUGUCUUGAAAGAAAUGAAUCAGCAGUUUUUCAUCAUCAACCACCUCAGCCAUUUUGUUGCAGUAUGCUUUGAGAUGAGUUAUAGGGCAUUGAGUUCCCGUAUAUUUAACAAAUUCUGGCACUCUAAAAUUUUUGGGAAUGACAACGUUGGGCACCAAACACAUCUCAGCAGCCUUUAUAGGAUCAUAUAGGUGAAUUCCCUCAAAUGCCCUCAUCCUUUGCUCUAGGGCAAUGAAUUUGGUCAGAUCAUCUUCUUUUACCAUAUUGCCUUUUUGAGAUCCUUUCUCUGUAGAAUCAAUGGUGGAAGAAAUUCUUGUAGGGUAUGAUGGUUGGAAAUGCAUAGCUUGUUGAAAUUCAGAUGACACCCUACUUGCCCCCAGAUUCUGUGGAUCGAAAUGAGUUACAUGCAUAUCUUCAGGCUGAGCUAUAAGUGUUGUUUUUCCGGAUUUAUCUCUCAAGGCCUGCUCGAGUAGACUAGUAAGCCUUGCGACUUCUUCUUUAAGAUUGUCCAACUCUUUUUGAUGUUGGGCUUCCAACUGGACUCUUUCUUCGUUUUCCAUUUUUCUCUUUCUCGAACGAGUGUUAUAAAUGGGUUUCAAUGGGGAACCUAUAUUUCAACCUGCUAAAUGUAAAUCAUGCAAUUAUGCAAAAAAUACUGAAGUAAUAAAAAAAUGCAUAUGAAAUGUAGACUCGCCCUUCACGGGAUGACAACCUAAUAGGAAGAUCCUAAUUGUUGAGUGCAUCAAAGGGUUGGUCCUUAUCUAGUUUAAAAAGGGUCUCUCGCAUGCUCAGUGAUCGUCCAUGAAAGGUCGAUAUGAGGCUUACAAGUAGUGUGAAAAUAGAGGCCUUGAGUAAUAUCAGUUUGGCAUAUCAACCACUUCCAAGUAAACAAUCAAGCGAGAGUUGGAUGGUUUCACGAGUCUUACACAGGCUAAAGCCGUUGGGGUACCGUUACUUUCCCGCCUAUCCUAGAUUUUCAGGUGUGUGCUCUUAACAUGAUGUAUGACAAUAUAAACAUGGAUGGAUGCUAAAGCAGUAAAUUCAGGAAAAAUAAACAAAUAAACACAAUAUAACAAACAUUAUAGCAAUUGAUAAACAAAAGGCAAAGCUUAGUCCAUUAUUCCCCAGUGGAGUCGCCAUUCUGUCGCACCCGACAUCGCGGCGGCCUUAAAAAUUGUUCAUGGAAAAGAACGGAUUUCUGGCAUCCUGUUCUUUAAUGGGGAAUGGUCUUUGUUUAAGGAGUCGCCACCUAGUAUUAUGGUCACUAGGAACCUUAACUGGUCAACAGAGAUUUUAUGGUUCGAGACUGGUUAUGUAAAAGGGAAGAUAUUAUCACCCCUUAAACAUCCUGCCUAAGGCAGGCUGCAUUGCUAGUUUCGUCGUAAAUUGCUAAAUGUUUAUUAGUUUAUGCUAUGAAAAUUUGCUUAUAAUAUUCCUGACUCUGGCGCCAGUGAAUAUUUAACUACGAAUAUUUCCAACUCUGGCGUUAAUAAAUAUUACGCAGCUAUAAAAAACAAAACAAAUUUAAAUUAAUAUUUUUUAUUCCUGACUCUGGCGUCAGUGAAUAAACAAAUAAAAUAAAUUUAUUUUUACGCAUGCACAUUUUUUAUUUUUAUGCUAAAUAAAAUAAAAUACAACGAAUAAAAAUAAUAUAAAUUUAAACCGGUAUUUAUUCCUGACUCUGGCGUCAGUAAAUAAACCAAUAAAUUUAUAUUAUUUUUAUUCACGCAUACACAUUUUUUAUUUUUUUUAUUUUUCCUACCAUUUUUUAUUUUUCCUUUCCCGUUCCUGACUCUGGCGUCAGUGAACAAUUUCUACGAAUAUUUCCAACUCUGGCGUUGGUAAAUAUCGCACAAAUCCAACCCAAAACUAUUUUUGUUUAUUUAUGUAGCCCGGUCUCAAAAACUUAAAAAAGGGGUCGGGUCACUGGUCCAAACCAGAACCAGUGACCCGGUUUGGCCACUGUUGCAUGCAUGCGUGAGUCAGGCAUGCAUGCAACAGUAACAUGGUAAUUAAUUUGACAAAAACAGGGAAAGAUGAAGAACUUACCUGGCGAGGUUGCGGAUGAAGGCGAAGUUGAGGGAGACGGUCAUGCACUGCUCGCGGUUGAAGACCCGGUCUGUUGUUCACGACGGAGACAUGAUUUCUGUCGUGAAAGAGGGUUUCCCAACGUUGCUUUCAUGGAAGACGAGAGGAGCACAGUGCAGCUUGCCUGUGCUAUUUGCUGUUGCUGUACUGUGAUGCUGGUGUUGCUCCAUCUGCUGGACCGAAAGGAAGGCUGUUGCUGGACAUGCGGGGCGCGCAUCUGAUGCCGGUGGCUUCUGCUCUAGGAGGGGAGGAAAGGACAUAAGGGUUCCCUCUGCUGCAACUGCUGGCUUGUGUUAGCUCCCGGUUGCUGGAACGAAAGGAAGACU
rnacentral:lncRNA from 1 species